rnacentral:rRNA from 1 species
GCCAGCAGCCAUAUCACUCUGCAACUCACAACUGGCAACCCACUGAAGCUCAGCAGGUGUGAGCCUGGUCAGUACCUGUAUGGGAGACCUCCUGGGAAAAACUAAGGUUCAUGCUGGAA